GUUUCUAUAGUUGAAUUACAACAGUGGCUUUUCAUGUCGCUAGUCCUGGUUGAAAUCCGGGUGGAAAUG
rnacentral:tRNA from 1 species